CACGAACCGUACGAACGUUAUUCGGAAUUACUGGGCUUAAAGGGUUUGUAGGCGGCCUUAUAAGUCAGGUGUGAAAGCCCUCGGCUCAACCGAGGAAUAGCGCUUGAUACUGUAAGGCUUGAGGAGACAGGGUAAGCGGAACUGAUGGUGGAGCGGUGAAAUGCGUUGAUAUCCUAAGGAACACCGGUGGCGAAAGCGGCUCACUGGAUCUCUUCUGACGCUGAGGCACGAAAGCUAGGUAGCGAACGGG
rnacentral:rRNA from 1 species